AAUCCAUAGGUUAAUGAGGCGAACCGGGGGAACUGAAACAUCUAAGUACCCCGAGGAAAAGAAAUCAACCGAGAUUCCCCCAGUAGCGGCGAGCGAACGGGGAGGAGCCCAGAGCCUGAAUCAGCAUGUGUGUUAGUGGAAGCGUCUGGAAAGGCGCGCGAUACAGGGUGACAGCCCCGUACACAAAAGCGCAUGUGUUGUGAGCUCGAUGAGUAGGGCGGGACACGUGGUAUCCUGUCUGAAUAUGGGGGGACCAUCCUCCAAGGCUAAAUACUCCUGACUGACCGAUAGUGAACCAGUACCGUGAGGGAAAGGCGAAAAGAACCCCGGCGAGGGGAGUGAAAAAGAACCUGAAACCGUGUACGUACAAGCAGUGGGAGCACAGGUUUACCUGUGUGACUGCGUACCUUUUGUAUAAUGGGUCAGCGACUUAUAUUCUGUAGCAAGGUUAACCGUAUAGGGGAGCCGGAGGGAAACCGAGUCUUAAU
rnacentral:rRNA from 2 species